UAGCUAAGGUACAGGUUCAGAGGGAUCAACGUGCAGUGAGCACCACCGCUGAACGCACAGUGAUCACCUACGCACAACUGUGAAGACGAUUGCCUGGAAGGUCUAAACAGGCAGUCUCUAGAGAACAAGGAAGAUAUGGAAGGAAAUGAAUUCCCUCUUUAUAUCAGACCCAAGGGCAAACUGUUUGUAGGACUUCAAAGACUGGAGCGGUGACUCUCUGGAGCGGGGAAGCUUUUGCUAUGUCAUCCUUUUACAGCCUUUUUCAAACACCAUGUAGAGGACACUUUAUUUGUUCAGUGUUUUCCAAGAUAUCCUGUGGUUAUAUGGUACAAACAACCCUUUGUCAAUUCAUUGUUUUUGUCUGUGGUCACCAGGUCUGUUAAUAUAAAAAGGUCUCAUUUGAA